UACGGAGGGUGCAAGCGUUAUCCGGAUUUACUGGGCGUAAAGGGCGCGUAGGCGGCAAUUCAAGUCAUCUGUGAAAUCUCCGGGCUUAACCCGGAACGGUCAGAUGAUACUGCUUUGCUAGAGUGCGGAAGGGGCAAUCGGAAUUCUUGGUGUAGCGGUGAAAUGCGUAGAUAUCAAGAGGAACACCUGAGGUGAAGACGGGUUGCUGGGCCGACACUGACGCUGAUAGCGCGAAAGCCAGGGGAGCAAACGGG
rnacentral:rRNA from 1 species